rnacentral:rRNA from 1 species
CCUACGGGAGUCAGCAGUAGGGAAUAUUGCUCAAUGGGGGAAACCCUGAAGCAGCAACGCCGCGUGGAGGAUGAAGGUUUUAGGAUUGUAAACUCCUUUUGUUAGAGAAGAUUAUGACGGUAUCUAACGAAUAAGCACCGGCUAACUCCGUGCCAGCAGCCGCGGUAAUACGGAGGGGGCAAGCGUUACUCGGAAUCACUGGGCGUAAAGAGUGCGUAGGCGGGGUAAUAAGUCAGAUGUGAAAUACUGUGGCUUAACUACAGAACUGCAUUUGAAACUGUUACUCUGGAGUGUGGGAGAGAUAGGUGGAAUUCUUGGUGUAGGGGUAAAAUCCGUAGAGAUCAAGAGGAAUACUCAUUGCGAAGGCGACCUGCUGGAACAUUACUGACGCUGAUGCACGAAAGCGUGGGGAGCAAACAGGAUUAGAUACCCCUGUAGUC